GACCGCUGAAGGCGGGACCAAAUUCAGUAGCUUUGAAAAGUGUCGAAACACGAAAAGAGGUACAAUAUGAUUACCAGAUUAAAAGGUGCAUUGGUGCUUGAAGAUAUACAUAUUUUCUACAUAUAUCAGUGGUAAUCACAAAAAGAAAUGAUCACAUCUCACCAUCAAAUUAAAGCCUUGACCGGAGAAAUAACCAUUGUUGGCAACU
rnacentral:lncRNA from 1 species